GACGAACGCUGGCGGCGUGCCUGACACAUGCAAGUCGGACGGUUCUUGUAUCUUCAAGCUUGCUUGCAGGUGCAAGGAUAGUGGCGGACGGGUGAGUAACGCGUGAACAUCUACCCAUUGGAGGGGGACAACCCGUCGAAAGGCGGGCUAAUACCGCGUAAGCCGCGAGGUGAGAGGCUGCCUAUUGGUGGCCGCCGAUGGAUGGGUUCGCGUCCUAUCAGCUGGUUGGUGGGUAACGGCCUACCAAGGCGAAGACGGGUAGCCGGUCUGAGAGGAUGGCCGGCCACACUGGAACUGAGACACGGUCCAGACUCCUACGGGAGGCAGCAGUGGGGAAUAUUGGGCAAUGGGGGAGACCCUGACCCAGCGACGCCGCGUGAGGGAUGAAGGUUUUCGGAUCGUAAACCUCUGUUGUACGGGAAGAAGGAUGUGACGGUACCGUACGAGAAAGCCCCGGCAAACUACGUG
rnacentral:rRNA from 1 species